CCAUCUCUAGCUUAAAAAAAACCCUCUCUAAUUAUAAUUUAUUAUAAGAUCAUGUAAAAUUGAACUAGUUAUCAGUAAAUCAACAUGGCAUACACUGCUGUUUCAGAUAAACAACCUUGUGUUUGCAGGGAGAUACUGGUUUUCCUGCGUUAGCUCAUCCUCUGGUUUUUUCUCCCCCCAGGAGGUAGAGAGCAGAGCCCUUGGUAUGUGACCCAAGGCAUCACUCCCCAUCCUUGCUGCCCCUGAGUUGCAGGCACUGCAGAGGACUCAUCCAUUCUGUUUUUUUUUUUCUUCAAACAGAGUCUUGCUCUGUCUCCCAGGCCAGAGUGCAAUGGCGCAAUCUCAGCUCACUACAACCUCUGCCUCCUGGGUUCAAGCAAUUCUCCUGCCUCAGCCUCAAGCAAUUCUCCUGACUCAGCCUCCCUCAUAGCUGGGGCUAUAGGCAUGAGCCACCAUGCUCAGGGAGCCACUGCGGCAAAUCCCACAGGAAUCCCAGAGUGACUCUCACUGAACGAUUUGGGAGAAAAUCACGGAAAAUGGGAAAGAAGAACGUGAGCAGCUGACCGUAUGGCACACGUCCACACUCGGGGCAGGCGCAGCAGUGCCCUCUGAUUCUCUCAUUUCAUUCUUCCUACAACCGUGCGAGCUACAAUCGGGUGAGAAAUUUGGUGAAGAAUUUAGGGAUUAAAUAACUUGCUAAAGGCCAUAUAGCUAAAAACCAGCAGAGAUGGGUUCAAACGCAGACAUGUCUGACUCUGAAACGCUGGCUUCGGUCACCAUAAGGAAUUAGGCAAUUCUAACACUGACGCUGACACCAGAGCAAAGGCCCAUUGAAAGCGUAAGAAGAACAUUGUAAGUAACUAACAACAAGGUACAAGCAGAUGUGAUUUAUGAUGUGCAGCCACAGAUUUGAGAAGCUAUUCCUAUUAAUAUCUUAUUUGUCGUGAGUGUAAAACUUACGUGAGUAGAAGCACAUUAUUAUAUUUAUUGUCACACAGAGCACGAUGCAGGGUUUAGUGUGUAUGAAUCUGAUUACUCUAUGAGGCUGUGCCUGUCAUUGGUGGUGGCUGGUCAGCAGUCUGAACAAACCAUGUGCUGAAAAUGGGGAGAGAGAGGAGGGAGACAGAGAGGAGAGAGAGAGGCGGGUGCUUGUAAUGCACGGGGUGCAGGUCUAGCCUUCCCUUCAUCCCCGGGAUCUCUUCAGGGAAGUGGAAUGGGGAAGUGGGAAUGAAAGUCUUCAAGAGCCCACCAGGUAGGGAACGAGAGGAGUAAAAGGCACAGAGCAUCACUGUCCUGCGUGGAAAGCCACACUCUGCCAUGGGAAUAGCUUCUCCUCUGCGGAUAUUUUGAGAGUUUGCAUUCUUUUCUAAUUCACGGUAGUAAAUACGGCUCCCUCUUGACUUUCCCUCACGUUGUCUCCCAUUCGUAAUCCCUUCUGCCACGUCACAUGUGCCUUCUCUUCCUUAUCUCCAUGUCCGAACCCCUCGGGAAC
rnacentral:lncRNA from 13 species